UCUUAGAAAACAAUGAGCUGUCUCCUUGCCAACCAGCAGCUCCCUUGGUAGGGGCAUGCAGAAGACCUGAUGACACAAACCCUCCAAAGAGUUUCACCCUCACCACAACAGGUGGCUUCCUGCUCGGCAGCCCAUCCUGCAUCACUUCAGUGGACUUCUCUGACAUCUACUAGACCACAUUAAAUGAAUCACAGCCUUGAAACUGAACUGGAAGGACUUCCUUCAAGGAGCCAGCAUAUGAACUUGCUGCCUAUCUUUAGCAAGGAGAUGCAAAUGACAUCCACAAACCUCUUCUGCUGUAUACCUGGAUGAAAGCAAGGCUAGCUGUGUGUCCUAUGGCACCAAGGACUGAAAGAUUGUAAGAAGUAAGAGGGAAAGUGAUCCAAAAAGGUGGAACACCUAAUGUACAGCCCCAAGGAAGGAGCAUACUUGGAGAAUUCAAGGAACAGAAAGAAAAACAGGAAGGCUGGAGUGAAACUGAUUAAAUAAAGCAUCGUAACAUUAGAGGUCCAUCAUAGAGGCCAAGCCAAAUACAACUAUGUUUUCAAGCAUAAGAUGGAUAGAUGUGGUAAACCACAAGAAGCAAACAGCCCUUUAGAGGUGUGGAUUGACCUUGCAGAGUUACAAGUGGAGCCAGGAGAAAUCAUGUUGAGUGGGACUUCUCAUCCUACCUAAGAGAGACUAACAGAUGGAAAGCUGGGUACAGAAGGGAGAGAAGGCAGUAACAGUCAGAUUUCAAUACGCUGAGACUGUGACGUGGGACUUUUGAGUGAGUAACAUCUGCUCCUAGAACUGAGUUGAGUGGGGAUCCUCCCACACCACCCAGGCAAGAGAACUAACAAUUGAUGACUGCUCCAAAUCAGUCGCCAGUCUACCUAAUACUUCUACCUGGUAGGUAGCCUGAUACCCACUAACAUCAGGUCUUGCUCUGUUGCCUGGCCUGAAGUGCAGUGGCAUGAUCAUGGCUCACUGCAGCCUCAACCUCCCAGGCACAAGUGAUCCUCCCACCUCAACUUCCAGAAUAUAGAAGCUGGAACUACAGUGACCUACAUCCAAAGUGAAAAGUUAUUCAGCCUCUGAAGAGAAGCAUUUUGUUUGGGGAUCUUCAAGUAUGCUUGUCAGCACCGAGAACUGGAAAAAAAUCUCUGAUUGUCCUGCAGCAAUGGCAUUAAAGGCUCCUCAUAACAUACAGAACCAGAAUUGUGCCAUAAUUUACUGAAAUUGAACAUUGCUCUGUGACUGCUAAUUUUCCAUCGAGAUGAUUCUGUCUCUAACCAAGAAAAGAAAAGUUUGUCUUCCUGACUGCUGACACUGCUGACCAAGCCCACCACCAGAUGCCUGGCUGCACACCCAGAGGGCAGCCGCUUCCCGUGGUCCUCUCGAAGAACUUCCCUUUUGCAAUGCAUGUUUAGCAAGUGGAUGAGUUUGUCUUUUCUGAUUUCUCUGCAAGCUCUGCAUUGCCCACCUGAACCAGUGCUUCAGAAGAACUAAUGGGAUCUCUGACCCUCCAACAUCCUCUUCCAGACUUUCACUUUCCUGGCUCCUUGCAGGGACAUGUAAUAAACGUGCUCUCCAGAGAAAGCCUGAUUUGUAGCCUUUACUGAUU
rnacentral:lncRNA from 1 species